rnacentral:rRNA from 1 species
UUGGGCGUAAGCGCGCGCAGGUGGUUUCUUAAGUCUGAUGUGAAAGCCCACGGCUCACCCUGUGGAGGGUCAUUGGAAACUGGGAGACUUGAGUGCAGAACAGGAAAGUGGAAUUCCAUGUGUAGCGGUGAAAUGCGUAGAGAUAUGGAGGAACACCAGUGGCGAAGGCGACUUUCUGGCCUGUAACUGACACUGAGGCGCGAAAGCGUGGGGAGCAAACAGGAUUAGAUACCCUGGUAGUCCACGCCGUAAACGAUGAGUGCUAAGUGUUAGAGGGUUUCCGCCCUUUAGUGCUGAAGUUAACGCAUUAAGCACUCCGCCUGGGGAGUACGGCCGCAAGGCUGAAACUCAAAGGAAUUGACGGGGGCCCGCACAAGCGGUGGAGCAUGUGGUUUAAUUC